rnacentral:lncRNA from 1 species
CCAUGUGUUGUUUUCAAAUUCUCCCGCGAACUAUGUUAUCUAAAAGUAUAUUGCAAAAUUCGUUGGUUAUCGACCGUGACACAUAAACGCACCCGUUUAAAUUUAAUUUACAAUGGCAGAAAAAACAGAAAAAAGAAAAAAAACAGAAAACGCACGGGCAAGAAACUGGUACGAGGAAAAAGUCAAAUUGUUGGGAAAUUAAUCGAC